UAGUGGCGAACGGGUGAGUAACACGUGGGCAAUCUGCCCUUCACUCUGGGACAAGCCCUGGAAACGGGGUCUAAUACCGGAUAACACUCCUGCCCGCAUGGGUGGGGGUUAAAAGCUCCGGCGGUGAAGGAUGAGCCCGCGGCCUAUCAGCUUGUUGGUGAGGUAGUGGCUCACCAAGGCGACGACGGGUAGCCGGCCUGAGAGGGCGACCGGCCACACUGGGACUGAGACACGGCCCAGACUCCUACGGGAGGCAGCAGUGGGGAAUAUUGCACAAUGGGCGAAAGCCUGAUGCAGCGACGCCGCGUGAGGGAUGACGGCCUUCGGGUUGUAAACCUCUUUCAGCAGGGAAGAAGCGAAAGUGACGGUACCUGCAGAAGAAGCGCCGGCUAACUACGUGCCAGCAGCCGCGGUAAUACGUAGGGCGCAAGCGUUGUCCGGAAUUAUUGGGCGUAAAGAGCUCGUAGGCGGCUUGUCACGUCGGGUGUGAAAGCCCGGGGCUUAACCCCGGGUCUGCAUUCGAUACGGGCUAGCUAGAGUGUGGNAGGGGAGAUCGGAAUUCCU
rnacentral:rRNA from 1 species